UACGUAGGGUGCAAGCGUUGUCCGGAAUUAUUGGGCGUAAAGAGCUCGUAGGCGGCUUGUCACGUCGACUGUGAAAACCCGGGGCUCAACUCCGGGCCUGCAGUCGAUACGGGCAGGCUAGAGUGUGGUAGGGGAGAUCGGAAUUCCUGGUGUAGCGGUGAAAUGCGCAGAUAUCAGGAGGAACACCGGUGGCGAAGGCGGAUCUCUGGGCCAUUACUGACGCUGAGGAGCGAAAGCGUGGGGAGCGAACAGG
rnacentral:rRNA from 1 species